AACAACUUUCAACAACGGAUCUCUUGGCUCUCGCAUCGAUGAAGAACGCAGCGAAAUGCGAUAAGUAAUGUGAAUUGCAGAAUUCAGUGAAUCAUCGAAUCUUUGAACGCACCUUGCGCUCCUUGGUAUUCCGAGGAGCAUGCCUGUUUGAGUGUCAUUAAAUUCUCAA
rnacentral:rRNA from 1 species